rnacentral:rRNA from 1 species
AUUGAACGCUGGCGGCAUGCCUUACACAUGCAAGUCGAACGGCAGCGCGGGAGCAAUCCUGGCGGCGAGUGGCGAACGGGUGAGUAAUAUAUCGGAACGUGCCCAGUAGUGGGGGAUAGCCCGGCGAAAGCCGGAUUAAUACCGCAUGAGACCUGAGGGUGAAAGCGGGGGAUCGCAAGACCUCGCGCUACUGGAGCGGCCGAUAUCAGACUAGCUAGUUGGUGGGGUAAAGGGCCUACCAAGGCAACGAUCUGUAGUUGGUCUGAGAGGACGACCAGCCACACUGGGACUGAGACACGGCCCAGACUCCUACGGGAGGCAGCAGUGGGGAAUUUUGGACAAUGGGCGCAAGCCUGAUCCAGCAAUGCCGCGUGCAGGAAGAA